CAAUUGAAUAUUCAGAUGAAUUGGAUAAUAACUAGAAUAUUUUUUCAGGCUCAGGCUGUAGAGCCUGAACUUGUUUCAAAGUUGCUCGGUCAUGGUGUCGCAGUAUCUCCCAUAGUCACGGUGGAACCUAGAAGGCGUAAAUUCCACAAAGCAAUAACAUUGAGCAUGCCAGCUCCAAAAGCUCACUCACAAGGUAUGAUCAAUCAGUACCAAGGAACCACAAAUACCACUCUACGACUGCUGUGUUCAAUAACUGGUGGUCAAAACAAAGCUGUAUGGGAAGAUGUCACUGGAUCUACUCCUCUAACUUUUGUCAAGGAUUGUGUUUCCUUCACGACAACAGUUUCAGCAAGAUUUUGGUUAAUGGACUGCAGAAAUGUUGCCGAUGCUGCUCGAAUGGCUACUGAGCUGUACACCCAGGCAGCACAUGUUCCAUUUAUGGCUAAAUUCGUGGUGUUCGCCAAGAAAAUAUCUCCUCUAGAAUCAAGAUUGAGAGUAUUCUGUAUGACAGACGAUAAGGAGGAUAAAACAUUGGAGCAUCAAGAACAUUUCACAGAAAUAGCCAAGAGCAGAGACAUUGAGUUACUGGAAGGAAAAGAUAUCUUCAUGGAAUUUGCUGGAAACCUUGUGCCAGUCCUGCAGUCAGGUGACCAGCCCAGAUUGGGAUUCAAAGCUUUCAAAGAGAAUCGAUUGGCCUUCAGCAUGCGAAUGAGAGACCAGGAUGAGGAAGCAACUGGACGCAUUGUAUUUAUGAGUGAAGCCAAAGUGGCACGAGGCGAACCAAAUCAAAUUCCACUGUGUACCCUCAAUCUUGUUAUGCCAAGUGAUGUUCUUCCAGGGAGAGAUUCCCAAUCAGAUUUGCUGUCUAUUGAUAAGGAUCACAGUUUCCUUCAGCAUGGGGGCAUCAGCAAACCAGAUACAAUUCAUAGAGCAGACUUCAGGCUUUCUGAUAUUUGUAACUUGUUGGAUGAGGAUUGGGAGAAGCUGGCAAUGGAAUUAGACAUUCCACCAUCAGAUAUUGAACUGAUAAGAGAGGAAUAUCCUGAAAAUCAUCCUCAACAAGCUAUGAUCAUGUUCAGAUUGUGGUUGAGACAGAAGGCAAACAAGGCCACAGGAAAUAUUUUGGAGCUGGCACUUAAUAAGAUCGGAAGGCAAGAUAUUGUAGACAAAUGCAUUUGCAAUGUUGAGUUGGUAACUGAUGACAUGGAGAAGGCUUUGGCUAAAAUUCAUCUUGAUCAAUCCGGUUUUGAUAAUCUGAAGGAGGAAUUGGGCCCAUCCAGAGACACUUCUUUAAGAAGAGAUACUCAUAUCGAUAAAUCUUUUCAAGAUGAAAUUGACAAAAGCGAGAAAAGUGAAGAUGCUCAAAAUCAAAAUUCAUCAGGAAAGGAUUUCACUGAUACCAUAAGUGAUCACUUGAACCGAAACGGAUUUCACGAACCUGAAACUUUAGAUAAUCGGCCUAUGACACCUAUAAAUGCCAACGCAGAAGUUCUUGAAGAAAUAACGCAGCAGCUGAAUCUGAUACAUUCAACACCUAAAGUUAUGGGAGACCCCAAUGCUAACACACCUCCUUCCAGUCCUGCCGAGUUUGGUUUUGACAAAGAACCAAAUUUGGUCGAGCAAUACGUUACUGAAAAUAAAACUGUUUUAGGAACUCCGAAACAUGAAGAAAUCAUUUCAACUUCGCCUAUUGAACAGACACCAAUGGAAACUUUUGUGGAUCCAAUUGUUGUUCUCAAGAAAAAUGUUAGUGAUACAUUAACAUUUUUACAUCAAGAAAGAAAUGACUUUCUUUCCGAAGAUGAUAUAAUCAUUCCAACCAGAAAAGACGAUCAUAUUUCAAAAGAGAUUGAUUUGAGCAGUAUCAGCCUUAAGACUCCCAAAAGGUCUACCAGUGAUUAUGAUGAUGGUCUUCGGGAUGUUGUAGAAUGUGAAGUUGAUGAAGUCAUCAAACAAGCCGAAGAGGUAGUAAAUGAUAAGCUCAAUACGUUAGAUAACUCUGUGGAUGAAAGGUUACAAAAAGUACUCCGAUUUAAAGAAGAGAUAAGCGAAGAUUUUGUAAAUGAUAAAGAUUUUACCGAAGAAAAAGUUGACAGUGUCUUUGAGGAUGUGAAGACCACUACUGAGGACUCCUUGGAUAAUUUAGAGAGUCUCAAAGAUGACUCCAUAUCAACAGUUCAAGAAAAGAGUGAAGAAGCCUUCAAGUUCUUAGAAAAUGAGGAAUCGAGUCCUCUUAGCAAUAGAAUUGACGAUACUCGAACAUUUUUGGAAAAAGAAUUAGAGGCCACAAUAGUAGAUGAUCUCAUUUCAAAAAGUCCUAAGAGUGCAAUCCCAGUUGCCAAACCGAGAAAAAGUGUAGAGAAAGAAAAGAAUGUAGACGUUUUGUUCAAUGAAGAUAGAGCCUUGUCACCGACGGAUGGAGAAUUACUGACGAAAAUUCCAAUUUCCACAAAGGGAACCAAGGUUAAAACAAUUAAGAAACACUCCAAAGACCCACUCAAAGAGUUUGUGAAUCUCUCUAAAGAUGUUAAUUGGGAUGACGAUGAAGAAACAAACAAAAUAAUCAACACUGUUACUCUAUCUAGUGAUCCCAUUGUACAAACAACAGUUACAAGGACGAUAAUAGAAGGUACCCCAGAAAAUGUCAGGAGCAAAAUACCUGUGUUGCAAUCGGAACUGUCAACUGAAACCCUCGAGAAGCAUGAUUUCGAAUUUUCCCCCAAAAGUAAAAUCCCUGUUUUAAAAACGGAAAGUACAAGAAUAAACUCCCCGGAAACAAUACAAAUAGAACGAACGAUCAUUUCCCCGGAUUCUUCAAAAGUUGUAGAAACAACUACAACAAUAAUGUCGCCGGGUUCUAAAAUAUCCACAAAAAGUAGCACGUUAGAUUCGGAGUCUGAUGAUGACAGCAGAAGGAGUCCACCUUUGAAGGGAAUCUUGAAAAAGACUGCGAUGAGAACGGUCGGAAGUUCUAGUGGUUCAGACAUAGCUCUCCAUGAAGAAGGUGCAGAACUUAGCGAUGAUGAAUCAGCAUCAAAAAAUCCAAAAUCCUUAGAGACAUGGCAUGUUCUUUAUCCUCUAGUGUGGUCGUUAAUCGCAUUGGCAACAAGCAUGAUCGUGUUGGCACUGCUCGCACAAACUGACUAAUGAAGAUUUUUAUCAACAAGAACCCCAGUUUACAAUAACAACCACAGAAGAGAUAGACCCAGUCACUGGAGCAAAAAUUACAAGAACGGUUAGGACAGCAAGCCAAAUGAUAUCGUCACCAUCAAAUCAAAGUGAAGCUGAUUUUCGACAUUCAGUGCAAACUGCCUUGGAUCAGUUCAUGGCUGAGGAGCGAAAUCCUCAUUAAAAUAAGAAGCCUAUAUAGAUUGUAGGGGCAAUACAAUUGCUACUUAAAUCAAAUUGGAAAGGCUAUUUUUAUCGACGUUCUUUGAACAGUAUUGUCCCAGUGAUUUAUUUAUACACUUUUUAAUUGUAUUUAUUAUUACUUGUAUGCUGCUUCUCAGAUUAUUGAACGAUUUUUAUUUCACUUGAAUGCUCUAUUCAAAUUCUUAAAUGAUUAUAAUUUUCAAUGACCAAUUAUGACAGUUGUGAGAUUUUAAUACUUAUUAUUGUAUAGCAAGUUAUAAAUCAGCGACGUGUUCUAAAAUCAAUGUACAUUUUACUACUUAAAAAA
rnacentral:misc_RNA from 1 species